rnacentral:snRNA from 1 species
AGCUUUACGCAGUGGCAGUAUUGUAGCCAGUGAGGUUUAUCUGAGGCGCAAUUAUUGCUAAUUGAAAACUUCUUAGAGCUUCUCACAUACAUUUUCUCAUCUUAGAAUUGUGGCAAAACCUCCAGAAGU